CCCUUAGAUGUCCUGGGCCGCACGCGCGUUACACUGAUGCAUUCAACGAGCUUAUAACCUUGGCCGAGAGGCCUGGGCAAUCUUGUUAACGUGCAUCGUGAUAGGGAUAGAAUAUUGAAAUUAUUAAUCUUGAACGAGGAAUUCCUAGUAAACGCAGAUCAUCAAUCUGCAUUGAUUACGUCCCUGCCCUUUGUACACACCGCCCGUCGCACCUACCGAUUGGAUGGUCCGGUGAAGCCUCGGGAUUGUGGUUCUUGCCGCUUUAUUGUGGCGUGACCGCGAGAACUUGUCUAAACCUUAUCAUCUAGAGGAAGGUGAAGUCGUAACA
rnacentral:rRNA from 1 species